GACGGAGGAGGCAAGCGUUAUCCGGAAUUAUUGGGCGUAAAGCGUCCGCAGGCGGUUAUUUAAGUCUGUUGUCAAAGGUCACAGCUCAACUGUGGAUCGGCAAUGGAAACUGGAUGACUUGAGUGUGGUAGGGGUAGAGGGAAUUCCCGGUGUAGCGGUGAAAUGCGUAGAUAUCGGGAAGAACACCAGUGGCGAAGGCGCUCUACUGGGCCACAACUGACGCUGAGGGACGAAAGCUAGGGGAGCGAAAGGG
rnacentral:rRNA from 1 species